GACGUGAGGGGAUUUGGGGGGGGCAUGAGGGGAAGGGGACAGGGCCCGGUGGUUUGGUCCCGGCCCCGUGGACACUGGGGAAAGGGAACAGGGCCCAAGGGAAGGGGAAUGGGGGACAGGGGAAGGGGCCAGGGCCUGGGGAAGGGGGACAGGCCUGGAGGAGGCCCCAUCACUGUGGGCAGUGACAGGGGGGACAGGCCCCAGGGCCUUGGGGGUGCAGGCUGGGGGCUCCGGGUUGGCACCGAGGGGGCCACUGUGGGGCAACUCACAGCCUUUGGGGUGGCAUUUAAUGCCAGGGGACAGCGACAGCCCUUGGGGGCACAGCUCUAGCACGGGGACGCAGAGGCCGAGCUGGGAACACCGGGCAGGGCCCUGCUGGGCUCACUGGGAACGGGGGGACUGGGCCCUGCUGGGGUCACUGGGAGUGGCGACAGAGGGUGUGGGGCUGGGGGGAACAGGAGGGGAAGGAAAAGGAAAAGGGAUGAUUGGGGAGAUGGAGCGGAGCGGCGCUGGGCAGCAAGGCUCUGAGUCACGCUGCCGUGCUGGAUUAAGUCGGCUUCGCUGCUGCCUUGCCCGGAUUUGUCUCAGAGUGCUCAUAAACUGCUUCCUCCCUGCCAGCACCACGCAGGAACCGAGCAGGAACUGAGUUAAUUCGUAAUUCCAAAGCCAAUGCUUGCCAUUGGGUUUGCCACCACGGCUCGUCUUCUCUGCCAGUCCGCCUUCAGCCCUAGGCCUGCCUCUAUUAAUUCACAUUUAUAAUGUCACACAUUCAUAAUGUCAUGCAUCGGUGUUUGCUCCAGCACCUGCGGACAGACCUAUGGAGAAAACCCUGCUCAGAGGGUCUCGGUGGCAACCAGGCCCCCCUGGAUGGAAGCACACAGGGGAGAUGGGGCCAGCACGGCGGUGAGAGAACUGCCUUAAAACCGCCCUGUUUGCACCAUAGGGGUGGGUUUUUCCCCCGCAGAAAUACCAUAAAAAAUCUCCACUGUAACUGAGCAUACCAAAUUGGCAACGAUUCUCAUCAAUGUUUGGUUUUCUCAUCACAAGGGCUCGAAGGCAAAGGCUCCAGGACUGUUAACAGCCAGUAUGGUAAUUAACACUUUGUUGGCCAUUAACAAGGAAAAAAAGAAAAUAUUAGUACAACUUCUUAAGUUUCAUUUCUCUGUUUUGUCUGUUGGAGGGUAAUGAGCUUAUAAAGCACUUUUUAUGGCAUGUUGUGGCUUCUGGGGCCGCAGCAAUGGCAAUCCAAGGAAAUCCUCGAUUCUUCCAGCCGUGCCCAGAGGGUUUUCGUUUGCUGCCUCCCCACUCAGAGCCAGAGGGCCAGGGCUGGAGACCCUGCCUGCCCCAGCUGAUUUUUAGAAUAUAGGUCUUGGAACAGCUUCCUUCUUUUCUCCUCCAGGUCUACAAAAUACACUAAAACAGUGCUUAACUGCACAGGCUUGGCAGCGAGGAUGGACUCGGGCUGCCAGCUCACCUCUCCCAACCCGGCACAGAGGCAGGCACAGGAACCGGGAGCGCUACUGGAGCCAGCAGAAUGGCCCUCGGGACCAAGCCCCUGGGUGUUUUACGAGGCCAGCUAUAUUCUGCUGCAAACAGCCAUGGGUUUCUUCUGGGGCUACUCGUGCUGACACGCAGGUGCUGAAUACUGCAGGUGGCCAAGAAAGCACUCUGCGGCUACAAGAAUUCAUCCCACUGGCCCCAACGAGGACCGUCGGUCGCUGUCGCUUCAUUGCCUGCACUGCAGAACUGCACCUGGAGCCACGGCCGCAGGCUCUGCCACCGUGUCCUGUCCUGGCGGUUAGCCCUGCCUUCGUCGGGCUCGCACCCCAACAAUUAGCAUGCAUAAUUGCACUUUCGUCCCGUAUGCAAACCUGUAGUCAUUGGACAAGUCUGGUGAAUACUGCCUCACUUUUUUAGCUACGCAUUGAGGAUGUAUUCCACAUCUGUACAAAAUCAGCUAAAACUAUGUUGUUAGCUUUCACCCCCGAACUUGAAAAGCUGCCACUGUUUAACUCAAAUAACUGAUUUGCACAUCAAGCCGCCAGGACAUAUUACACGUUGUUUUGUGGUGUGACUCGCUGUACUACUGGAUAGCAUGGCUUGUUUGGUUCUUUCUUUGAAGCACUGAACCUUGUUCUAAGUGAGUUUUAUUUGGGAAUUUGAGGCUUAAUAAAAAAGUGUAAAAGACA